rnacentral:lncRNA from 1 species
GGCAUCGGCACGGACAUAGGAGAGCCAGUGUAAGACCAUGUCUGGGACAUGGCAUCGGCUCGAGAUGAGGGCCAAAGUAAGACCAUGUCUGGGACAUGACAUCGGCAUCGAUAUGUGAUCCCAUGUAAGACCAUAUAUGGGAUAUGGCAUUGGCGUCCUACUAGGUGUACGAAAUAUCCCGAACAUCCCUAAUAUUACAAGUAGUUCAACGGGAAAUUUAAGGAGUAUGCUCAAGAUAAGUAAGAGUAGGAUAUGUGAGUAUUAUGACUAGGCACAGGUAUGUAUAUGAGACUCAUAAAUAAUGUGCUCAGAUUAUGAUGCAUUAUUAAUAAGGAUGCAAACGAGUAAGUUUGUAUGUGAUUAAUUCCUUAUUUUUACUUACGUUUUAAUUAUGAGAUAUGAUUGAAUAUGGAAUAAUUACUUGAGGUGAAUAAUGAAUUACGGUUGAAUAUGGAAGAGUUGGAAAAAGGUUUAAAAUAUAUAUAUGAGAAUUUGUGGUUGAACCUUCGGAAUGGAUC